rnacentral:rRNA from 1 species
AGUGAACGCUGGCGGUAGGCCUAACACAUGCAAGUCGAACGGCAGCACAGUAAGAGCUUGCUCUUACGGGUGGCGAGUGGCGGACGGGUGAGGAAUACAUCGGAAUCUACUUUUUCGUGGGGGAUAACGUAGGGAAACUUACGCUAAUACCGCAUACGACCUACGGGUGAAAGCAGGGGAUCUUCGGACCUUGCGCGAUUGAAUGAGCCGAUGUCGGAUUAGCUAGUUGGCGGGGGAAAGGCCCACCAAGGCGACGAUCCGUAGCUGGUCUGAGAGGAUGAUCAGCCACACUGGAACUGAGACACGGUCCAGACUCCUACGGGAGGCAGCAGUGGGGAAUAUUGGACAAGGGGCGAAAGCCUGAUCCAGCCAUACCGCGUGGGUGAAGAAGGCCUUCGGGUUGUAAAGCGCUUUUGUUGGGAAAGAAAAGCAGCAGGUUAAUACCCCGCUGUUCUGACGGUACCCAAAGAAUAAGCACCGGCUAACUUCGUG